rnacentral:rRNA from 1 species
CGCGUAGGCGGACAGUUUAGUCAGAGGUGAAAGCCCAGGGCUCAACCUUGGAACUGCCUUUGAUACUGGCUGUCUUGAGUUCGGGAGAGGUGUGUGGAACUCCGAGUGUAGAGGUGAAAUUCGUAGAUAUUCGGAAGAACACCAGUGGCGAAGGCGACACACUGGCCCGAUACUGACGCUGAGGCGCGAAAGCGUGGGGAGCAAACAGGAUUAGAUACCCUGGUAGUCCACGCUGUAAACGAUGAGUGCUAGUUGUCGGCAUGCAUGCAUGUCGGUGACGCAGCUAACGCAUUAAGCACUCCGCCUGGGGAGUACGGUCGCAAGAUUAAA